UACGGAGGGUGCAAGCGUUGCUCGGAAUCACUGGGCGUAAAGCGUACGCAGGCGGCGCAGCAGGUCGGGUGUGAAAGCCCGGGGCUCAACCCCGGAACUGCAUUCGAAACCGCUGUGCUUGAGUACGGGAGAGGGAAGCGGAAUUCCUGGUGUAGCGGUGAAAUUCGUAGAUAUCAGGAGGAACACCAGCGGCGAAAGCGGCUUCCUGGCCCGAUACUGACGCUCAUGUACGAAAGCGUGGGGAGCAAACAGG
rnacentral:misc_RNA from 1 species